rnacentral:rRNA from 1 species
AUCCUAGCUGUAAACGAUGCUGACUAGGUGUGGGAGGUAUCGACCCCUUCCGCGCCGCCGCUAACGCAUUAAGUCAGCCGCCUGGGGAGUACGGCCGCAAGGUUAAAACUCAAAGGAAUUGACGGGGGCCCCGCACAAGCGGUGGAGCAUGUGGUUUAAUUCGACGCUACGCGAAGAACCUUACCUGGGCUCGAACGACUGGUAGUAGUCCCGAUGAAAGUUGGGGCGACCCGCAAGGGAGCCAGCCGAGGUGCUGCAUGGCUGUCGU